AACGAACGCUGGCGGCAUGCUUUACACAUGCAAGUCGAACGGUAACAGGCCGCAAGGUGCUGACGAGUGGCGAACGGGUGAGUAAUGCAUCGGAACGUGCCCAGUCGUGGGGGAUAACGCAGCGAAAGUUGCGCUAAUACCGCAUACGAUCUAUGGAUGAAAGCGGGGGACCGUAAGGCCUCGCGCGAUUGGAGCGGCCGAUGUCAGAUUAGGUAGUUGGUGGGGUAAAGGCUCACCAAGCCGACGAUCUGUAGCUGGUCUGAGAGGACGACCAGCCACACUGGAACUGAGACACGGCCCAGACUCCUACGGGGGGCAGCAGUGGGGAAUUUUGGACAAUGGGCGCAAGCCUGAUCCAGCAAUGCCGCGUGCAGGAAGAAGGCCUUCGGGUUGUAAACUGCUUUUGUACGGAACGAAACGGUCCUGGUUAAUACCCGGGGCUAAUGACGGUACCGUAAGAAUAAGCACCGGCUAACUACGUGCCAGCCGCCGCUGUAAAAC
rnacentral:rRNA from 1 species